rnacentral:rRNA from 1 species
UACGUAGGGCGCAAGCGUUGUCCGGACUUAUUGGGCGUAAAGAGCUCGUAGGCGGUUUGUUGCGUCUGCUGUGAAAUCCCGAGGCUCAACCUCGGGUCUGCAGUCGAUACGAGCAAACUAGAGUGUUGCAGGGGAGACUGGAAUUCCUGGUGUAGCGGUGAAAUGCGCAGAUAUCAGGAGGAACACCGGUGGCGAAGGCGGGUCUCUGGGCAGCAACUGACGCUGAGGCGCGAAAGCGUGGGGAGCAAACAGG